GAGCGAACGGGGAGGAGCCCAGAGCCUGAAUCAGCAUGUGUGUUAGUGGAAGCGUCUGGAAAGGCGCGCGAUACAGGGUGACAGCCCCGUACACAAAAGCGCAUGUGCUGUGAGCUCGAUGAGUAGGGCGGGACACGUGGUAUCCUGUCUGAAUAUGGGGGGACCAUCCUCCAAGGCUAAAUACUCCUGACUGACCGAUAGUGAACCAGUACCGUGAGGGAAAGGCGAAAAGAACCCCGGCGAGGGGAGUGAAAAAGAACCUGAAACCGUGUACGUACAAGCAGUGGGAGCACAGGUUUACCUGUGUGACUGCGUACCUUUUGUAUAAUGGGUCAGCGACUUAUAUUCUGUAGCAAGGUUAACCGUAUAGGGGAGCCGGAGGGAAACCGAGUCUUAAUUGGGCGUUAAGUUGCAGGGUAUAGACCCGAAACCCGGUGAUCUAGCCAUGGGCAGGUUGAAGGUUGGGUAACACUAACUGGAGGACCGAACCGACUAAUGUUGAAAAAUUAGCGGAUGACCUGUGGCUGGGGGUGAAAGGCCAAUCAAACCGGGAGAUAGCUGGUUCUCCCCGAAAGCUAUUUAGGUAGCGCCUCGUGAAUUCAUCUCCGGGGGUAGAGCACUGUUUCGGCUAGGGGGCCAUCCCGGCUUACCAACCCGAUGCAAACUGCGAAUACCGGAGAAUGUUAUCACGGGAGACACACGGCGGGUGCUAACGUCCGUCGUGAAGAGGGAAACAACCCAGACCGCCAGCUAAGGUCCCAAAGUCAUGGUUAAGUGGGAAACGAUGUGGGAAGGCCCAGACAGCCAGGAUGUUGGCUUAGAAGCAGCCAUCAUUUAAAGAAAGCGUAAUAGCUCACUGGUCGAGUCGGCCUGCGCGGAAGAUGUAACGGGGCUAAACCAUGCACCGAAGCUGCGGCAGCGAACGUAUCACCCAAGACAACUUUACGGAGUUGACGAUUGACGGAGCGAAGCGACGUCAAAGCGUUCAUUAAAGUCGAGUUGGCUUAGGGAUACGUUCGUUGGGUAGGGGAGCGUUCUGUAAGCCUGUGAAGGUGUGUCGUGAGGCAUGCUGGAGGUAUCAGAAGUGCGAAUGCUGACAUAAGUAACGAUAAAGCGGGUGAAAAGCCCGCUCGCCGGAAGACCAAGGGUUCCUGUCCAACGUUAAUCGGGGCAGGGUGAGUCGACCCCUAAGGCGAGGCCGAAAGGCGUAGUCGAUGGGAAACGGGUUAAUAUUCCCGUACUUGGUGUUACUGCGAAGGGGGGACGGAGAAGGCUAUGUUGGCCGGGCGACGGUUGUCCCGGUUUAAGCGUGUAGGUGUGUGUUCCAGGUAAAUCCGGUU
rnacentral:rRNA from 1 species